ACUAUAACCGUAAAUGGUGACAA
rnacentral:snRNA from 1 species